GUUCGGUUCAGGUACAUCAAGUAUCGAUGGUUUGGAUAGGGGGUUAAAGGAUCAAUUUACUACUUGACCUAUUUUCGGUUCGGUUUCGAUUCAAAUAGUUACGGGGUUGUUUCGGAUAGUUUCGGGUUCGGUUUGUUUUGGAUAGUAAAUUUAGCAAACGGAAAAUACCCAGAAAAAAUUGUAUCCUAUUUGAUUAUGGUUGAGGUUCAGUUAUUUUGGGAAAUUCGGGUAAACUUUCAGAGGUAUUUGAGUAAUUUAUCAAAUAAUUUAGAUAAUUUAGAUAAAAAUAUUGGA
rnacentral:lncRNA from 1 species